rnacentral:rRNA from 1 species
UACAGAGGUCCCGAGCGUUUGUUCGGAUUCAUUGGGCGUAAAGGGUGCGUAGGCGGCGGGGCAAGUCUGAUGUGAAAUCCCGGGGCUCAACCCCGGAACUGCAUUGGAUACUGCGAUGCUGGAGGACUGGAGAGGAGAAUGGAAUUCACGGUGGAGCAGUGAAAUGCGUAGAUAUCGUGAGGAAGGCCAGUGGCGAAGGCGAUUCUCUGGACAGUACCUGACGCUGAGGCACGAAGGCUGGGGGGAGCGAACAGG